GAUGAACGCUGGCGGCGUGCCUAAUACAUGCAAGUCGAGCGAACAGAUGAGGAGCUUGCUCCUCUGACGUUAGCGGCGGACGGGUGAGUAACACGUGGAUAACCUACCUAUAAGACUGGGAUAACUUCGGGAAACCGGAGCUAAUACCGGAUAAUAUAUUGAACCGCAUGGUUCAAUAGUGAAAGACGGUUUUGCUGUCACUUAUAGAUGGAUCCGCGCCGCAUUAGAUAGUUGGUAAGGUAACGGCUUACCAAGGCAACGAUGCGUAGCCGACCUGAGAGGGUGAUCGGCCACACUGGAACUGAGACACGGUCCAGACUCCUACGGGAGGCAGCAGUAGGGAAUCUUCCGCAAUGGGCGAAAGCUUGACGGAGCAACGCCGCGUGAGUGAUGAAGGUCUUCGGAUCGUAAAACUCUGUUAUUAGGGAAGAACAAAUGUGUAAGUAACUAUGCACGUCUUGACGGUACCUAAUCAGAAAGCCACGGCUAACUACGUG
rnacentral:rRNA from 1 species